rnacentral:rRNA from 1 species
UACGGAGGGAGCUAGCGUUGUUCGGAAUUACUGGGCGUAAAGCGCACGUAGGCGGCUUUGUAAGUUAGAGGUGAAAGCCCGGGGCUCAACCCCGGAAUUGCCUUUAAGACUGCAUCGCUUGAAUCCGGGAGAGGUGAGUGGAAUUCCGAGUGUAGAGGUGAAAUUCGUAGAUAUUCGGAAGAACACCAGUGGCGAAGGCGGCUCACUGGCCCGAUACUGACGCUGGAGGCACGAAAGCGUGGGGAGCAAACAGG